UCUCAAUUACAAUACCUUUAA
rnacentral:piRNA from 1 species